GAUUAGCCCUGGUUGAAACGACAUCCUUUUUUGUUUUUCGCAAAAAAGAUAUAGUGUAAAGCAGGUAUUAGC
rnacentral:sRNA from 1 species